rnacentral:rRNA from 1 species
GUGGGGAAUAUUGCACAAUGGGGGAAACCCUGAUGCAGCGACGCCGCGUGAGCGAAGAAGUAUUUCGGUAUGUAAAGCUCUAUCAGCAGGGAAGAAGAAUGACGGUACCUGACUAAGAAGCACCGGCUAAAUACGUGCCAGCAGCCGCGGUAAUACGUAUGGUGCAAGCGUUAUCCGGAUUUACUGGGUGUAAAGGGAGCGCAGGCGGUGCGGCAAGUCUGAUGUGAAAGCCCGGGGCUCAACCCCGGUACUGCAUUGGAAACUGUCGUACUAGAGUGUCGGAGGGGUAAGUGGAAUUCCUAGUGUAGCGGUGAAAUGCGUAGAUAUUAGGAGGAACACCAGUGGCGAAGGCGGCUUACUGGACGAUAACUGACGCUGAGGCUCGAAAGCGUGGGGAGCAAACAGGAUUAGAAACCCGAGUAGUCC